rnacentral:rRNA from 1 species
UACGUAGGGGGCGAGCGUUGUCCGGAUUUAUUGGGCGUAAAGAGCUCGUAGGCGGUUUGGCAAGUCGGGUGUGAAAACUCCGGCUCAACUCGGAGACGCCACUCGAUACUGCUAUGACUCGAGUCCGGUAGGGGAGUGCGGAAUUCCUGGUGUAGCGGUGAAAUGCGCAGAUAUCAGGAGGAACACCGGUGGCAAAGGCGGCACUCUGGGCCGGUACUGACGCUGAGGAGCGAAAGCGUGGGGAGCGAACAGG